CUAGUGUCUGAUGUCUGAAUCCAUUUUCUGCUGUUUCUGAUUUUGUUUCUUGGCCAAAAAAGUGUUCCCAGAAAUGAUCAAUCAUUUGGUAAAAGCUGGCCUGACAACGUAACUAUUGCCAUAUGCCAAGAAAAUCUACAACAAAUUUGUCUCUGCAGUACACUGGACAUUUGGCAUGAUGAGGAAUGAGAUCUGUCUACAGUAGUUGAGAUUUUUUUUGGAGCUAGGCUCACUCUGUCUCUCACUGUGGAUCAUUAAUCGAAAGGAAAAUGAACAUUUGGAUCUCUAAAUGCUGUGAACUGAUUCUUCUGACAGGAGCAGAAGGGACGUUUGGACCUACUGCCAGCAGGCUGUAACAGACAGAUGGGUUUUCACACAAACAACAGAAAACAUCAAGAGCAGUGAAGCUGGCACACACAGAAGAAGAAGCAGCAAAGGGGAGAAAGUUUGGAUAAUGAGGCACUGCUAGCAGGAGAUGAUAAUUCACUUUGUGCUGUGAGAAGACAAACUGUCCACUCUGUGUAGAGUUCAACUCCAUAGCUGCAAAGCCAUAUGGAUAUUCUGUACACAAAGUAUGAUCCGACUGAAGUGAAAUAUAAUAACCAGCAGAUGGCGGGCAAGCGUCAGAGUCCUGUUGAUAUCAGAACCACACAUCAAUGAAGUUUUGCAAGCAAAGGACAAUACCAAGAGAGACUGCAAAGAGGCAGCUGAUUUACACUUCACAUUCUGAUUGCACUUCUCAUCCUUUCAUCUCCAAAUAUCCUUCAAAUCUUUAUUGUAUAGGUGGCGGCACAUUGGCACCAUAUGCUCAGCUAUUUCCAUCAAUGCUGCCAUUAAGCCUCUAUUUUGUUUCAUCUCUGUUCUGAAUCCAGCACUCCUUUCACCCAAACACUGAAUAAUCCAUCCUGAUUGGCCAUUCAGGGGGGUCAUUAUUUCUGGGUCUAGGAUUUGGGACUCCUAUUUCACGUCACUGACACUCUGUUAUGUUCAUGUCAUCGUCUGGUGGCCGCAGCUUAUGAUGGGAUUUAUUUGGACAGACAAAUUCAUGAAAUAUGUCAUGCUGUGGGUUAGUCUUUUUAUAAUUGCAUUCAAAACUAUUGCUGAGACAUAAGACUGUGAUGAUAAUAAUAGUAAAAAUUCUGUUAGAAAAAGGUUUAUUGCUGCUGAUUUUCUUAUUAAAAUGUCAUUUAAAUUUGUAAGUACAAAAAGGACAAGCAUUUUGAUAUCUGUCGAGUUCAAUUUGCACUUUUAGGGAUUAAUAUAUUGUAAUGUAAAAGAUUUCUCGAUUACUAAAUUGUUUGGCAUCUGGCAAUGAGAUGAAUUGUGAUGUCACAAAUGUGGGUGGAGUCACACAUACACACCAUAUAUAGACAUUCUGGAUGGUCUUAGUAGGAAAUGGAGUUCUAGAAACGACGAAAUGGAGAGAAUGACCUUUGAGAUAGUAAGGAGGUUUUUGUUUAUUGCCCUACAUUGACUGCUAACAGGACAGCUGUGAUUAUACAAGUUGCUGUACCUAAGAAGAAUUAUUGCCCAUUAAACAAAGCAUCAUCACCUGAAUUCAUCUGCUUUCAAACACUGCAUACCGUUCCUCUCAAAAAAUAAUAAAAUCCCUCUACAGCGGAAUCAUGCAUAUAAAGAUUUUCAUUAAAGAGCAGCAUCGUAAAAGGUCAACGGCAGUUCAGUAUCCAAUGACACAGAGGAUAAUAAACCAAAUAAAUAAAUAAAUAGAUAGAUAGUUACAUAAAUAAAUAAAUACACAUGAAAUAAAUAAGAAAAUGAAAAUAGUGCAUAAAUAAAUACAUAAAUACUCAACAACAAUACUGGAAUGGUAGAAAUUAGGUUUGUGUGAUGGGGCGCUUUGAGAGCGUGGACAGAGCAGAGGUUAGAGGUCAUACCUGCCUCUGGGUGAGGUAAUCAAGGAGCAGGAAGACAAGGGGCGGAGCUCCAGGCAUCUGGAGCACAUGCAGUCUGUUUUAGUGUGAGGAAGCCCAGCAGAGCGAGCAGAGAUCUGCUAAAGAUGUUGUUGAAAGUCCCUGUCGUCCGUAUUAUGAGUGUUUCGAAUGUUUGGAGAUCAUUGAAAUGUUUAGUCUUGAGUGCUGUUUCCUCCAUAUGGUAAACAGAGUGAUGGUUGCUCUGCUCAUAUAGUUACAGGACAUGAUUGGCACAAUAAAUAAAUAAUGGAACCAAGAAACUGCAGGAAACUUUGAAUAUAAAAAUAACAAUUAUAAAUAAAAUACCAAAAGUGUAACAAAAGUUUGUACCUUUUCAGAGGUCUACAAUCUUUUUGUUUUGUUUUCUUGCAAAUACUGUCAUUAUUCACAUUUUCAUAAAAAG
ensembl:lncRNA